rnacentral:tRNA from 10 species
GUUGGGAUAGCUCAGUUGGUAGAGCAGAG